GGAGAGGGAAAAGGAGAGGGAGUUGGCCGCACGCAGACAGAGCACCACAUCAGCGCUGGAGCUGGGGCCCAACAUGGACACGCCUGUGCAGGUGGAGGAAGAGGAGCGUUCCCAUGGCAACCUGCAGAGCAUUGGCCGCAUGCUGUCUCUCCCCAGCGACAGCUAUGUUCAGCCUCUCCGGUGCAUCCCGUAUCCUCCGAUUGGCCACGAGGCCUUCUCCGGAUACAACUACUCAGGCUCUGCAUCCUCCUUGGCCUCCAGCGGAGCCAGCUCCCUGCUGCAGGUGCCCGGAGCACUGCCCACCAUCAGCCACGCCUCACUGGGCUCGGGCCGCAGCAGCAGACCCAUCAUCUGCCUCAGCUCCUUCCAGAGCAUCGACCGCUGCCACAGACUCAGCCCUUCAGACAGCGUAGAGGGUCACAGGCUGAGCCCCGCCCACCGUGCACACCGCCUCAACUCUGCC
rnacentral:lncRNA from 1 species